rnacentral:rRNA from 1 species
ACGUACACUCCUACGGGAGGCAGCAGUGGGGAAUAUUGCACAAUGGGCGCAAGCCUGAUGCAGCGACGCCGCGUGGGGGAUGAAGGCCUUCGGGUUGUAAACUCCUUUCGCUAGGGACGAAGCUUUUUUGUGACGGUACCUAGAUAAGAAGCACCGGCUAACUACGUGCCAGCAGCCGCGGGAAUACGUAGGGUGCGAGCGUUGUCCGGAAUUACUGGGCGUAAAGGGCUCGUAGGUGGUUUGUCGCGUCGUCUGUGAAAUUCUGGGGCUUAACUCCGGGCGUGCAGGCGAUACGGGCAUAACUUGAGUGCUGUAGGGGUAACUGGAAUUCCUGGUGUAGCGGUGAAAUGCGCAGAUAUCAGGAGGAACACCGAUGGCGAAGGCAGGUUACUGGGCAGUUACUGACGCUGAGGAGCGAAAGCAUGGGUAGCGAACAGGAUUAGAUACCCCUGUAGUCCCAUG